rnacentral:rRNA from 1 species
AGAGUUUGAUCAUGGCUCAGGAUGAACGCUAGCGGCAGGCCUAACACAUGCAAGUCGAGGGGUAACGGGGAGCUUGCUCCGCCGACGACCGGCGCACGGGUGCGCACCGCGUAUGGAACCUACCUUCUACAGGGGAAUAGCCUUUGGAAACGAAGAUUAAUGCCCCAUAGUACCAUUUUACAGCAUUGUAUUUUGGUUAAAGGCUUCGGCCGGUGGAAGAUGGCCAUGCGUCCCAUUAGCUAGUUGGUAAGGUAACGGCUUACCAAGGCUACGAUGGGUAGGGGCCCUGAGAGGGGGAUCCCCCACACUGGUACUGAGACACGGACCAGACUCCUACGGGAGGCAGCAGUGAGGAAUAUUGGACAAUGGAGGAGACUCUGAUCCAGCCAUGCCGCGUGCAGGAAGAAUGCCCUAUGGGUAGUAAACUGCUUUUAUACGGGAAGAAAAAGGGCUACGUGUAGCCUACUGACGGUACCGUAAGAAUAAGGACCGGCUAACUCCGUGCCAGCAGCCGCGGUAAUACGGAGGGUCCGAGCGUUAUCCGGAAUUAUUGGGUUUAAAGGGUCCGUAGGCGGGCCAUUAAGUCAGGGGUGAAAGUCUGCGGCUCAACCGUAGAAUUGCCUUUGAUACUGGUGGUCUUGAGUUACAGUGAAGUUGCCGGAAUAUGUAGUGUAGCGGUGAAAUGCAUAGAUAUUACAUAGAACCCCGAUUGCGAAGGCAGGUGACUAACUGUAUACUGACGCUGAUGGACGAAAGCGUGGGGAGCGAACAGGAUUAGAUACCCUGGUAGUCCACGCCGUAAACGAUGGAUACUAGCUGUCCGGGUCCUUGAGACCUGGGCGGCCAAGCGAAAGUGAUAAGUUCCCACAUUGGAAUCGAGUGGUUUAAUUCGAUGAUACGCGAGGAACCUUACCAGGGCUUAAAUGCAUUUUGACAGGGCCAGAGAUGGCUUUUCCUUCGGGCAAUUUGCAAGGUGCUGCAUGGUUGUCGUCAGCUCGUGCCGUGAGGUGUCAGGUUAAGUCCUAUAACGAGCGCAACCCCUACCGUUAGUUGCCAGCAUGUCAUGAUGGGGACUCUAACGGGACUGCCGGUGCAAACCGUGAGGAAGGUGGGGAUGACGUCAAAUCAUCACGGCCCUUACGUCCUGGGCCACACACGUGCUACAAUGGCAGGUACAGAGAGCAGCCACCUCGCAAGGGGGAGCGAAUCUACAAAACCUGUCACAGUUCGGAUCGGGGUCUGCAACUCGACCCCGUGAAGCUGGAAUCGCUAGUAAUCGGAUAUCAGCCAUGAUCCGGUGAAUACGUUCCCGGGCCUUGUACACACCGCCCGUCAAGCCAUGGAAGCCGGGAGUGCCUGAAGUCCGUCACCGCAAGGAGCGGCCUAGGGCAAGAUCGGUAACUAGGGCUAAGUCGUAACAAGGUAACC